GGCCCUCGUAGCGCAGAGGCAGACGCGCCUGUUUCGCAAACAGGAGCACGCCGGUUCGAAUCCGGCCGGGGCCA
rnacentral:tRNA from 1 species